AUUGCAGUAGGGAAUCUUCGGCAAUGGGGGGAACCCUGACCGAGCAACGCCGCGUGAGUGAAGAAGGUUUUCGGAUCGUAAAGCUCUGUUGUUAAGGAAGAACGAGUGUGAGAAUGGAAAGUUCAUACUGUGACGGUACUUAACCAGAAAGGGACGGCUAACUACGUGCCAGCAGCCGCGGUAAUACGUAGGUCCCGAGCGUUGUCCGGAUUUAUUGGGCGUAAAGCGAGCGCAGGUGGUUUAUUAAGCCUGGUGUAAAAGGCAGUGGCUCAACCAUUGUAUGCAUUGGAAACUGGUAGACUUGAGUGCAGGAGAGGAGAGUGGAAUUCCAUGUGUAGCGGUGAAAUGCGUAGAUAUAUGGAGGAACACCGGUGGCGAAAGCGGCUCUCUGGCCUGUAACUGACACUGAGGCUCGAAAGCGUGGGGAGCAAACAGGAUUAGAUACCCUGGUAGUCCACGCCGUAAACGAUGAGUGCUAGAUGUAGGGAGCUAUAAGUUCUCUGUAUUGCAGCUAACGCAAUAAGCACUCCGCCUGGGGAGUACGACCGCAAGGUUGAAACUCAAAGGAAUUGACGGAAUC
rnacentral:rRNA from 1 species